CCUACGGGAGGCAGCAGUGGGGAAUAUUGCACAAUGGGGGAAACCCUGAUGCAGCCAUGCCGCGUGUGUGAAGAAGGCCUUCGGGUUGUAAAGCACUUUCAGCGAGGAGGAAAGGUCAGUAGCUAAUAUCUGCUGACUGUGACGUUACUCGCAGAAGAAGCACCGGCUAACUCCGUGCCAGCAGCCGCGGUAAU
rnacentral:rRNA from 1 species